rnacentral:lncRNA from 1 species
AUUUGAAUACUAAAAUUUCCUUACUAGUUGUAAAGUUAUUGAUGGUUCUACUUGUGAAUGUUUAAGCUGAUUAGCUACAGAAUGGCUCCUGGGAGAUGGGUAGUGCUGCUACUAUUCUGGCUUCCCUUCUAAAUGUAGAGGCGUUGCUUCCUGGGCCAGCUGCCUCUUACAGGCAUCUGUAGAAUUUAUUGUUUAGAAUGUCAGUGGGUUUGAAUGUUACCUUCUCUAAGGUUUUAGGGCAGAGAUAACUGGGUGGGAACAGUUAAAUCUCUCAUAUGUGGUACAGCCUAACAUUAGGGUAUGCUGUACCAUUGGAUAUGUUGGGCAAUGUAUAUAACCUCAUGAUGUGUUUUCUCGUGAAUUGUUUUUGCAUUGUUGAUAAAGCUAGUAUACUC